rnacentral:rRNA from 1 species
UACGGAGGGUGCAAGCGUUGUUCGGAUUUAUUGGGCGUAAAGGGCGUGCAGGCGGUCUCGCAAGUCCGAUGUGAAAGCCCCGGGCUCAACCCGGGAAGUGCAUCGGAAACCGCGAGACUUGAGUACGGGAGAGGGCAGUGGAAUUCCUGGAGUAGGGGUGAAAUCCGUAGAUAUCAGGAAGAACACCGGUGGCGAAGGCGGCUGCCUGGACCGAUACUGACGCUGAGACGCGAAAGCGUGGGGAGCAAACAGG